GCCUCUCGGUGUCUCUGACACGGCCAUCGUGAACCCACUGAGAGAGAGAGACACUCAGACCCAGGGCUCGAACCCAGCCUCUCAGCGUCUCUGACACGUCCAUGAUGAACCCUAGCCAUGAUGGUGCCCACGGUGGCUAGGAGAAGUUAGGGUGGGGGGUGUGGAAACUUCCUUGUGAACCACUGCGAUGAGAUUUGUUCUCAGCAACAGUUGUAAAACAACAACAGCAAAUAACUUUUUUUCGGUAUAAAUUGACACUUCAACGUUUUAUUUGACUUGAAUUCGAGCAUUUGGUGUAACACUGCAACGAGGGUACAAUGUGGAGCCGCUGCAGUUUACGUGCUGCAUUUUUUGCGAAGACGGAAGAGCGAGCCUCCCUUGCAGCGUUAAAUGUUCCAGAUCCCGUGAGCGUAAUCGAUAUAUUUGGAUUAGGGCAAUAGGAGGCCCACCACGAUGUAGAAUAAGGAACAACAAUAGCCUCUCCAUGUGAGAGACGCAUCACAAUACAGAAUGAUGACAAUAGCCUGCUCCAGGUGAGAGAGACGCAUCACAAUACAGAAUGAUGACAAUAGCCUGCUCCAGGUGAGAGAGACACAUCACAAUACAGAGUGAUAACAAUAGCCUGCUCCAGGUGAGAGAGACACAUCACAAUACAGAAUGAUAACAAUAGCCUGCUCCAGGUGAGAGAGACGCAUCACAAUGCAGAAUGAUAACAAUAGCCUGCUCCAGGUGAGAGAGACGCAUCACAAUACAGAGUGAUAACAAUAACCUCUCCAGGUGAGAGAGAUAUCACAAUGCAGAAUGAUAACAAUAGCCUGCUCCAGGUGAGAGAGACACAUCACAAAGCAGAAUGAUAACAAUAGCCUCUCCAGGUGAGAGAGACACAUCACAAUGCAGAGUGAUAACAAUAGCCUGCUCCAGGUGAGAGAGACACAUCACAAUGCAGAGUGAUAACAAUAGCCUCUCCAGGUGAGAGAGAUAUCACAAUGCAGAAUGAUAACAAUAACCUUUCCAGGUGAGAGAGAUAUCACAAUGCAGAAUGAUGACCAUAGCCUGCUCCAGGUGAGAGAGACACAUCACAAUGCAGAAUGAUAACAAUAGCCUGCUCCAGGUGAGAGAGAUAUCACAAUGCAGAAUGACAACAAUAGUCUGCUCCAGGUGAGAGAGACACAUCACAAUACAGAGUGAUAACAAUAGCCUGCUCCAGGUUUUAGAGACAUCACAAUGCAGAAUGACAACAAUAGUCUGCUCCAGGUGAGAGAGACACAUCACAAUACAGAGUGAUAACAAUAGCCUGCUCCAGGUUUUAGAGACAUCAUAAUGCAGAAUGAUAACAAUAGCUUAUCCAGGUGAGAGAGACACAUCACAAUGCAGAAUGAUAACAAUAGCCUGCUCCAGGUGAGAGAGACACAUGACAAUGCAGAGUGAUAACAAUAGCCUGCUCCAGGUGAGAGAGACACAUCACAAUGCAGAAUGAUAACAAUAGCCUGCUCCAGGUGAGAGAGAUAUCACAAUGCAGAAUGACAACAAUAGCCUGCUCCAGGUGAGAGAGACGCAUCACAAUGCAGAAUGAUAACAAUAGUCUGCUCCAGGUGAGAGAGACACAUCACAAUACAGAGUGAUAACAAUAGCCUGCGCCAGGUUUUAGAGACAUCAUAAUGCAGAAUGAUAACAAUAGCUUAUCCAGGUGAGAGAGACACAUCACAAUGCAGAAUGAUAACAAUAGCCUGCUCCAGGUGAGAGAGACACAUCACAAUGCAGAAUGAUAACAAUAGCCUGCUCCAGGUGAGAGAGACACAUCACAAUACAGAAUGAUGACAAUAGCCUCCUCCAGGUGAGAGAGACACAUCACAAUGCAGAGUGAUAACAAUAGCCUGAUCCAGGUGAGAGAGACACAUCACAAUGCAGAAUGAUAACAAUAGCCUGCUCCAGGUGAGAGACACAUCACAAUGCAGAAUGAUAACAAUAACCUCUCCAGGUGAGAGAGACGCAUCACAAUGCAGAGUGAUAACAAUAACCUCUCCAGGUGAGAGAGAUAUCACAAUGCAGAAUGAUGACAAUAGCCUGCUACAGGUGAGAGACACAUCACAAUGAAGAAUGAUAACAAUAGCCUGCUCCAGGUGAGAGAGACACAUCACAAUACAGAGUGAUAACAAUAGCCUGCUCCAGGUGAGAGAGAGACACAUCACAAUGCAGAAUGACAACAAUAGCCUGCUCCAGGUGAGAGAGACGCAUCACAAUGCAGAAUGAUAACAAUAGUCUGCUCCAGGUGAGAGAGACACAUCACAAUACAGAGUGAUAACAAUAGCCUGCGCCAGGUUUUAGAGACAUCAUAAUGCAGAAUGAUAACAAUAGCCUGCUCCAGGUGAAAGAGACGCAUCACAAUGCAGAAUGAUAACAAUAGCCUGCUCCAGGUGAGAGAGACACAUCACAAUGCAGAAUGAUAACAAUAGCCUGCUCCAGGUGAGAGAGACACAUCACAAUACAGAAUGAUGACAAUAGCCUCCUCCAGGUGAGAGAGACACAUCACAAUGCAGAGUGAUAACAAUAGCCUGAUCCAGGUGAGAGAGACACAUCACAAUGCAGAAUGAUAACAAUAGCCUGCUCCAGGUGAGAGACACAUCACAAUGCAGAAUGAUAACAAUAACCUCUCCAGGUGAGAGAGACGCAUCACAAUGCAGAGUGAUAACAAUAACCUCUCCAGGUGAGAGAGAUAUCACAAUGCAGAAUGAUGACAAUAGCCUGCUACAGGUGAGAGACACAUCACAAUGAAGAAUGAUAACAAUAGCCUGCUCCAGGUGAGAGAGACACAUCACAAUACAGAAUGAUGACAAUAGCCUGCUCCAGGUGAGAGAGACACAUCACAAUGCAGAAUGAUAACAAUAGCCUGCUCCAGGUGAGAGAGACACAUCACAAUGCAGAGUGAUAACAAUAGCCUGCUCCAGGUGAGAGAGACGCAUCACAAUGCAGAGUGAUAACAAUAGCCUGCUCCAGGUGAGAGAGACACAUCACAAUACAGAAUGAUAACAAUAGCCUGAUCCAGGUGAGAGAGAGACACAUCACAAUGCAGAAUGAUAACAAUAGCCUGCUCCAGGUGAGAGAGACACAUCACAAUGCAGAAUGAUAGCAAUAGCCUGCUCCAGGUGAGAAACACAUCACAAUGCAGAAUGAUAACAAUAGCCUCUACAGGUGAGAGAGACACAUCACAAUGCAGAGUGAUAACAAUAGCCUGCUCCAGGUGAGAGAGACACAUCACAAUGCAGAGUGAUAACAAUAGCCUGCUCCAGGUGAGAGAGACACAUCACAAUGCAGAGUGAUAACAAUAGCCUGCUCCAGGUGAGAGAGACACAUCACAAUGCAGAGUGAUAACAAUAGCCUGCUCCAGGUGAGAGAGACGCAUCACAAUGCAGAGUGAUAACAAUAGCCUGCUCCAGGUGAGAGAGACACAUCACAAUGCAGAAUGAUAACAAUAGCCUGAUCCAGGUGAGAGAGACACAUCA